rnacentral:rRNA from 1 species
UAGCCGACCUGAGAGGGUGACCGGCCACACUGGGACUGAGACACGGCCCAGACUCCUACGGGAGGCAGCAGUGGGGAAUAUUGCACAAUGGGCGGAAGCCUGAUGCAGCGACGCCGCGUGAGGGAUGAAGGCCUUCGGGUUGUAAACCUCUUUCAGCAGGGACGAAGCGUGAGUGACGGUACCUGCAGAAGAAGCACCGGCUAACUACGUGCCAGCAGCCGCGGUAAUACGUAGGGUGCGAGCGUUGUCCGGAAUUACUGGGCGUAAAGAGUUCGUAGGCGGUUUGUCGCGUCGUUUGUGAAAACCCGGGGCUCAACUUCGGGCUUGCAGGCGAUACGGGCAGACUUGAGUGUUUCAGGGGAGACUGGAAUUCCUGGUGUAGCGGUGAAAUGCGCAGAUAUCAGGAGGAACACCGGUGGCGAAGGCGGGUCUCUGGGAAACAACUGACGCUGAGGAACGAAAGCGUGGGUAGCAAACAGGAUUAGAUACCCUGGUAGUCCACGCCGUAAACGGUGGGCGCUAGGUGUGGGUUCCUUCCACGGGAUCUGUGCCGUAGCUAACGCAUUAAGCGCCCCGCCU